rnacentral:rRNA from 1 species
UAUAGAGGUGGCAAGCGUUGUUCGGAAUUACUGGGCGUAAAGGGCGCGUAGGCGGUUCGUUAAGUCCUGUGUGAAAUCCCCCGGCUCAACUGGGGAACUGCACAGGAAACUAGCGGGCUUGAGUUCGGGAGAGGGAAGCGGAAUUCCGGGUGUAGCGGUGAAAUGCGUAGAUAUCCGGAGGAACACCGGUGGCGAAGGCGGCUUCUUGGACCGACACUGACGCUGAGGCGCGAAAGCUAGGGGAGCAAACGGG